GAAUUGAGCUCAUCUUGUUCUUCUGCAGCCUGCUCACGGACUCAGGUCCCUGCUUGCACCACUUCCGAAGAACAUGUCUGCUCAAGAUGAAGGCCACAUCUGCCAUGGAAUACAUCUUUACUUGUUCCUUUGCAGCCUGCGCAUGCUGACGCAGCUCCCUACUUGAGCUAUAUACUACUAGACUGUAUGACUUCAUCAUUCACCAGCUACUAAUGACUUGUGUGGAUCAGAACACAAGUGGAUAUUAAUAGAAAUAUAAUUGCCUGCAGUUCAUAUGGUACUUAGCUACCUGCCCAAGACUAACAUUACUGUAAAACACAGUUUGCUGCUUUCAUAGAGGCAGGGUGUUUGUGGAAGCUACUGUAUCUCAGUGAGGUGGCCUUAUUGGAGCUGUUAGGUCAGUGAGCUACUAGGACACAUAUAAGCAGGUUUACUAUCUCUUUUGUUCUCCAGCUUCCCCAAUUAAGCCGCCUAUCCGAAUAUGGAGUAGGACACGAUUUCUUAACGGUACAGUAAUAUUCUCUGUAAUCCCUGACAUUGCUCUCCGGCAGAAGUAGGGAUUGAUCGUGCCCAUUCAGCCUGUCAGCAUACAAUUCCAUCUGGAAAAAAAAUGAAAACUUUUCUAUAUUGCUUA